rnacentral:rRNA from 1 species
CGUAGGGGGCAAGCGUUGUCCGGAUUUACUGGGCGUAAAGAGCGUGUAGGCGGCAAACAGGUCCGUUGUGAAAACUGGAGGCUCAACCUCCAGACGUCGACGGAAACCGUGUGGCUAGAGUCCGGAAGAGGAGAGUGGAAUUCCUGGUGUAGCGGUGAAAUGCGCAGAUAUCAGGAAGAACACCAAUGGCGAAGGCAGCUCUCUGGGACGGUACUGACGCUGAGACGCGAAAGCGUGGGGAGCGAACAGGAUUAGAUACCCUGGUAGUCCACGCCGUAAACGAUGGGUGCUAGGUGUGGGAGGUGUCGACUCCUUCCGUGCCGUAGCUAACGCAUUAAGCACCCCGCCUGGGGAGUACGGCCGCAAGGCUA